rnacentral:tRNA from 1 species
AUUUACAUAAUUUAUAAAGAAUAUUGUGUUGAAGCCACAAAAGAGGUAAAAGGACCUGUAAAUG